AGUGAACGCUGGCGGUAGGCCUAACACAUGCAAGUCGAACGGCAGCACAGUAAGAGCUUGCUCUUACGGGUGGCGAGUGGCGGACGGGUGAGGAAUACAUCGGAAUCUACUUUUUCGUGGGGGGUAACGUAGGGAAACUUACGCUAAUACCGCAUACGACCUACGGGUGAAAGCAGGGGAUCUUCGGACCUUGCGCGAUUGAAUGAGCCGAUGUCGGAUUAGCUAGUUGGCGGGGUAAAGGCCCACCAAGGCGACGAUCCGUAGCUGGUCUGAGAGGAUGAUCAGCCACACUGGAACUGAGACACGGUCCAGACUCCUACGGGAGGCAGCAGUGGGGAAUACUGGACAAUGGGCGCAGGCCUGAUCCAGCCAUACCGCGUGGGUGAAGAAGGCCUUCGGGUUGUAAAGCCCUUUUGUUGGGAAAGAAAAGCAGCAGGUUAAUACCCCGCUGUUCUGACGGUACCCAAAGAAUAAGCACCGGCUAACUUCGUG
rnacentral:rRNA from 1 species